AUGAAAUAUGAAGUUUUAUUAAAAGAAAAGGGGUGAAAAGAACAAAGUUUUGUCCAUCUUUGUUCAUCAUAGCUGAAAGUUAGAGAAGAGAAAGGAGAGGAGAAAGCUCUUGAGUAUUCGGUCAUUAGGAGGAGGAAAAUUGAAGGAAAUCCCCAACCAUAGUGGGCUUGGAGCUGUGAGAGAAUUCGGAGUGGCCAGCCGUUCUGAAAGUUUGAUUUUCUUCUGGUGAACUGGACAUCCUUUUAUUUACGUUUGAAGUUUUGGGUUUUUAAAUGUAAUAAGGCCGCUUAAUUAUUUUUAAUGGUUUUAAUAUGUAUUACUGA